AUGCUCCUCCCGACGCGCCGCCUCCCUGCUACCCCUUCCCGCCCAUCCGCGCACCCGUACAUCUCCCCUGCGCGGCCCUCCCUCCGGUUCCGGCGACAGCAUGGUCGAGCGGCGACGGCGAGGGCGACGUCAGCGACACCUCCCGUGUUUGGCGACACACUGCUGGGUCUGUACGAGAAAGAGAGGUUAGGCCUCUCACGGUACGCCGACGAGGAGUCCAGAGAAGACGUGUUCUGGGAAACCUUGGACGCUGAUUUGCAGUACUGGACCAGAUCCCUGCGCCCGGUGCAGUGGUAUCCUGGUCAUAUUGCAAAAACAGAGAAGGAACUGAAAGGACAGUUAAAGCUCAUGGAUGUUGUCAUAGAAGUCCGGGAUGCUAGAAUUCCCUUGGCAACAACCCAUCCUAAGAUGGAUUCCUGGCUAGGCAACCGUAGAAGGAUCAUAGUGAUGAACCGCGAAGACAUGGUGUCAGCCGACGACAGAAAUGCAUGGGCAACUUACUUUUCUAGUCAGGGUAUCAAAGUUAUUUACUCAAAUGGCCAGCUGGGCAUGGGUACGAUGAAAUUAGGCAGAAUGGCAAAAUCAGCAGCAUCUACUGUGAACACAAGGCGAAGAGAAAAGGGAUUGCUUCCUCGUCCGGUUCGAGCUGGAAUUGUUGGAUAUCCAAAUGUCGGUAAAUCUUCCUUGAUUAAUCGCUUGCUAAAACGAAGAAUGUGUCCAGCAGCACCUAGACCAGGUGUCACAAGAGAACUGAAGUGGGUUCGUUUUGGGAAGGAUCUAGAGCUAUUAGACUCACCUGGAAUUUUGCCAAUGAGAAUUAGUGAUCAGACAGCUGCACUUAAGCUUGCUAUCUGUGAUGAUAUUGGAGAAAGGUCAUAUGAUUUUGCUGAUGUGGCAGCAAUUCUUGUGCAGAUAUUGUUAAGACAUCCGGCUGUGGGUUCUGAGGCAUUUCGAAAACGAUACAAGAUUGAUGUAGACAGUGACUGCGGCAAAUUGUUUGUCACAAAGCUCUCGGUCCACUUGUUCAAUGGAGAUACCACCCAAGCAGCUUUCCGCAUCUUAUCUGACUUCCGGAAAGGAAGAUUUGGUUGGGUUGCCCUAGAGAGACCUCCAACAUGA
rnacentral:rRNA from 1 species